GACGAACGCUGGCGGCGUGCUUAACACAUGCCAGUCGAACGGAAAGGCCCUGCUUUUGUGGGUUGCUCGAGUGGCGAACGGGGGAGUAACACGUGAUUAACCUGCCCUUGACUUUGGGAUAACUUCAGGAAACUGGGGCUAAUACCGGAUAGGAGCUCCUGCUGCAUGGUGGGGGUUGGAAAGUUUCGGCGGUUGGGGAUGGACUCGCGGCUUAUCAGCUUGUUGGUGGGGUAGUGGCUUACCAAGGCUUUGACGGGUAGCCGGCCUGAGAGGGUGACCGGCCACAUUGGGACUGAGAUACGGCCCAGACUCCUACGGGAGGCAGCAGUGGGGAAUAUUGCACAAUGGGCGGAAGCCUGAUGCAGCAACGCCGCGUGCGGGAUGACGGCCUUCGGGUUGUAAACCGCUUUCGCCUGUGACGAAGCGUGAGUGACGGUAAUGGGUAAAGAAGCACCGGCUAACUACGUG
rnacentral:rRNA from 1 species